AAGUGCUAAAUCUUGAACACAAUAAACAAGAGACCAUUGAUAUCACAGUAGAUGUUUAUGAAAAUGAACUGGCAAAGGAAAAGGAGGUACGUGAAAUACGCUACGAAACGAUUGCUUCAGUUACUGAUCCUUAUAUCUGGUAUGGAGGAAAGGUUGUUCCAUGGGAUAAAACCGUAUAUGCUGAGAAAUGGACAACAUUUGUCGUUGAGCCCACGUCUUUUGUUUCCGAAGUGAAUAUAUGGAUUAUCAUUGGAAGCGUCUUAGGUGCACCUGCAC